GAUUGAGCAGGAUUUUAAUCUUAUGUUUGGAGGUGCCACCUCUGCAAAGUUCCUGGAGAAGUGUCCCACUGUCUACAAGCAGAAAGUCCUUGAACAAAGCCGUGGCCUCACACAGACAGGGGAACUUCAGGACCUGGUUCAAAAUGCUGAGUCCACAACAGAAGUGGAAAAUGGAUGGGACAGUGACAUGUCAUCCGUUUUGGUUCUUAUCCACCUUUUGCCACCAUCUCCACAUGGCCGCAAGCGACCAGGAAAGCUCUCAGCCAAACAAGCCAGUUAGCAUCUUGUGAAGUUCAUCAAGACUGGGACCAGUGUCCAAGGGCAUCUGGACAGCAUCAUGGAAUGUCUUCAACCCUAUCUGCUUGCUGUGGGGACCAAGAGAAUUGUAAUUCACACUUACUUCAUUGUGAUUGACAAACAUGCAAUACCAUGUAAGUCACCAGACUCUCUUGCCUGUUUUGAUGAGCUUUUCAAAGCUCAUUUUGUCUUUGGUACCUCGUACAACCCAGAUCUGGCAAACGUGUACAACUUUUUGCGAACCACCAUUUAUGAAAUAGAUGUUGAUUCCACUAAGGUGAAUCCUAGGGUUGCAGAGGUGAGGGCUCGGA